UAAUUCUAUCAUCUACCUAUGGAAGACGAUCCAACAUGGAUGCUCUAAAAAGUACCGGAUGUUUAUAAAAUCUGCAUAUAACAUCACCUGCAUCGGAAAUUUCUGUAGCAUUUGAGGAUGAGAAAAUGGUGUAUAUGGUGUUGAAGGAAGCGUAGGAAGAAGCAUCUUGACAAAAGACAUGGCAAAGAUGAUGUCCAAGGGAAAAGCAGGGAAGUAAAACAUAAUUAGUUUAGAGUGGUUAAUGUGAAAGCAGUUUUAGUUUCAGCAAGAGGUGGAUUCUGAAGAUAACAACAGGUCAACAGCACAAGACUAUGAUAAGGCAUAACAUAGUUCUGAUGGGAAGGCAUAACAUAGUUGCUGGAAGAUAUAUUUGUACAAUAACAGGCACGCACAUGCAUGUGUAGUUAUACGGGAUUUAAAAAGAGUUAAUAUGAGAGAUUCAAUUCUGAUA